rnacentral:rRNA from 1 species
GUGCUGGCGCGGCUACCGUGCGGUCGAGCGGAACGAGUUAACUGAACCUUCGGGGAACGUUAACGGCGUCGAGCGGCGGACGGGUGAGUAAUGCCUGGGAAAUUGCCCUGAUGUGGGGGAUAACCAUUGGAAACGAUGGCUAAUACCGCAUAAUAGCUUCGGCUCAAAGAGGGGGACCUUCGGGCCUCUCGCGUCAGGAUAUGCCCAGGUGGGAUUAGCUAGUUGGUGAGGUAAUGGCUCACCAAGGCGACGAUCCCUAGCUGGUCUGAGAGGAUGAUCAGCCACACUGGAACUGAGACACGGUCCAGACUCCUACGGGAGGCAGCAGUGGGGAAUAUUGCACAAUGGGCGCAAGCCUGAUGCAGCCAUGCCGCGUGUAUGAAGAAGGCCUUCGGGUUGUAAAGUACUUUCAGCAGUGAGGAAGGUAUCGUAGUUAAUAGCUGCGUCAUUUGACGUUAGCUGCAGAAGAAGCACCGGCUAACUCCGUGCCAGCAGCCGCGGUAAUACGGAGGGUGCGAGCGUUAAUCGGAAUUACUGGGCGUAAAGCGCAUGCAGGUGGUUUGUUAAGUCAGAUGUGAAAGCCCGGGGCUCAACCUCGGAAUUGCAUUUGAAACUGGCAGACUAGAGUACUGUAGAGGGGGGUAGAAUUUCAGGUGUAGCGGUGAAAUGCGUAGAGAUCUGAAGGAAUACCGGUGGCGAAGGCGGCCCCCUGGACAGAUACUGACACUCAGAUGCGAAAGCGUGGGGAGCAAACAGGAUUAGAUACCCUGGUAGUCCACGCCGUAAACGAUGUCUACUUGGAGGUUGUGGCCUUGAGCCGUGGCUUUCGGAGCUAACGCGUUAAGUAGACCGCCUGGGGAGUACGGUCGCAAGAUUAAAACUCAAAUGAAUUGACGGGGGCCCGCACAAGCGGUGGAGCAUGUGGUUUAAUUCGAUGCAACGCGAAGAACCUUACCUACUCUUGACAUCUAGAGAACUUACCAGAGAUGCAUUGGUGCCUUCGGGAACUCUGAGACAGGUGCUGCAUGGCUGUCGUCAGCUCGUGUUGUGAAAUGUUGGGUUAAGUCCCGCAACGGGGCGCAACCCUUAUCCUUGUUUGCCAGG